rnacentral:lncRNA from 1 species
UUUAACUUAUUCGAUAACUGAUGUUUGUCUUUAUUGAUACGGGGACGUACAGUAAUGUCAUGAACUGGUGAGUAAUUCCUUGAUUUUGCAAUACCACCUAGGGAUAGGGGUAGGAUGAUCAAUUGCUUUUAACUUCUACUCUUUAAGGCUGUAUUAAUUGCUAGGGGAGGCUAGGGAUAGCAAGCCAGUAAUUAGUAUUAGGCUNUUUUCGCUGAGGGAUCGGGUUAAGGGUAGGCUAAGAAAGUUGCAUGACAAUUAAUUAAUCAAACUAAUAAUUCAAGAGGAGUAAAUAAGAGAGUGUAGAUAAGAUGAAAUUGUAAACCCCCAACAACUCCAUUCAUCCAUUGUUUUCCUUUUGUCAAUUGAAUCAAUCUCUAUUGCAU